GAUGAACGCUGGCGGCGUGCCUAAUACAUGCAAGUCGAGCGAACGGACGAGAAGCUUGCUUCUCUGAUGUUAGCGGCGGACGGGUGAGUAACACGUGGAUAACCUACCUAUAAGACUGGGAUAACUUCGGGAAACCGGAGCUAAUACCGGAUAAUAUUUUGAACCGCAUGGUUCAAAGGUGAAAGACGGUCUUGCUGUCACUUAUAGAUGGAUCCGCGCUGCAUUAGCUAGUUGGUAAGGUAACGGCUUACCAAGGCAACGAUGCAUAGCCGACCUGAGAGGGUGAUCGGCCACACUGGAACUGAGACACGGUCCAGACUCCUACGGGAGGCAGCAGUAGGGAAUCUUCCACAAUGGGCGAAAGCCUGACGGAGCAACGCCGCGUGAGUGAUGAAGGUCUUCGGAUCGUAAAACUCUGUUAUUAGGGAAGAACAUAUGUGUAAGUAACUGUGCACAUCUUGACGGUACCUAAUCAGAAAGCCACGGCUAACUACGUG
rnacentral:rRNA from 1 species